UUCGCCUACGGGACGCAGCAGUGGGGAAUAUUGCACAAUGGGGGAAACCCUGAUGCAGCAACGCCGCGUGAGUGAAGAAGUAUUUCGGUAUGUAAAGCUCUAUCAGCAGGGAAGAAGAUGACGGUACCUGAUUAAGAAGCCCCGGCUAACUACGUGCCAGCAGCCGCGGUAAUACGUAGGGGGCAAGCGUUAUCCGGAUUUACUGGGUGUAAAGGGAGCGUAGACGGCAUAGCAAGUCUGAAGUGAAAGGCAGGGGCUUAACCCCUGAACUGCUUUGGAAACUGCCAUGCUAGAGUGCUGGAGAG
rnacentral:rRNA from 1 species